GACGAACGCUGGCGGCGUGCUUAACAAAUGCAAGUCGAGCGGAGAGGCGAACGGGUGAGUAAAGCGUGAGUAACCGCCCCCCUCUCUGGGAUAACAGUUGGAAAAGGCUGCUAAUACCGGAUAGAGGGGGAUGGCUCGCGUCCUAUCAGCUUGUUGGUGGGGUAGUGGCCUACCAAGGCGACGACGGGUAGCCGGCCUGAGAGGGCGACCAGGCACAUGGGUCUGGGGUACGGCCCAAAGUCCUACGGGGGGCAGCGGGGGGGAAUAUUGCACAAUGUGGCAGACCCUGAUGCAGCAACCCUCGUGCGUGAUGACGGCCUUCGGGUUGUAAACCGCUUUCAGCCAUGACUCGGUAGUGGCAGAAGAAGCACCGGCUAACUACGUGCCAGCAGCCGCGGUAAUUC
rnacentral:rRNA from 1 species